AGUUUUACUUGAUCAGUCAGUUGAUGCAGUUGUCUAUAUAGUCCAGUAAAAAAGAGGCAAACUUACAUUUCUUCUGAUAUAAAGUUAUACAGGGUCCAAGCGCCACACUUAUCCUGGACGACUGUACAAUUACACUCGGUUUGCAAAAGUCUAGUGCUGUGUAUGUUUUGAAUGCUACUUCUACGAACUUCGAACGUGCUUUUCUGAAAAAGAUAUAUUUAGUGAACUAUUUAUGGACAAGAUCGAGAUAUGCAACAUAUGCGAUAAAGCACUGGAGUGUGCUACGUUAAAAGUCGUCGCCGUUAAAAAAAGGGGUCUGAGGUCAUUUGUUGCGAAAAGCAAAGAAAUUGGCGAUAGAAAAUGGAAGAUUUGGAGCAGACAUACCUCGGUUCUCGUGCAUACCGCGUGCCGCAAUAUAUACUCAAAGGCAACAAUCAAAAAUGUGGCCGCAAAAGCAGCAAAACUGAAAGCUUUAUCGACAUCUUCUGCUGAAACACCUAGUACGUCAGCGAGGAUUUCUGAAUCGCCGCUCACGAAAAAUAAAUUCAAUUUCCGUGACUUGUGCUUAAUAUGCGCAAAGCCAUGGAAGGAAAAGAACAAGCAAGGCUCCGUGAUACAUAACGACUAUAUGAAGUUGCUGUGGGCGCACGAUAUCACAACAAAUGUUACGUGCUGUUUUUGCUAAUCCCAACCGACACGUCGAAUCGUACUUCAGAAACAAAAAAUAUGGACUCGGAUUUUCAAUUCAUUGCGGAGCAUAUAAAAAAUUCGCAAAAAGGAACAUUCACAGCAAAUGAAUUACUGUAUCUUAAAGGUAGCAGAUGUUUUUCACAAGAAUUUUUGUAUCGAAAACUGAAAGAAUAUUUUCGAGAAGAUAUCUACAUUUUGCGGCGACAAGGCCAUGUAACAUUGAUCUUAUAUAAAUGCUUCAGUGUGUCCGAUGUAUGUGGAAUAUGGUAUCGUAAUCCGAAUUCCCUCAAUAUCAAGCAGCAAGAAGCAUUAGUAAACGCAGUAACAGAGAUCGUCCGAAAAACUAUCAAGAAUGAAUGAGCAGGAAGACGAUUCCUACAUGGAGUACCAUUUAUAGGUAUGUCCCACCACGGGCACUGGUGUAACCUUGAAGUGGGAGUUGCUGUUACAAUAGGCAGGUAGCUGUCAACAAUCUUCGGAUACUUGUCAACGGAGUGAAACUCCGUGAUCGCAAACAAAUAUCUCUCUCUUUUAGGACAAUGAUUAAAAUAUAUGUCUUAGUUGUUUGUUGCUAUAUUAAAGAAUAAAAUAUUAACUCCAAUUCAAGUAAUAAAUCUUCUUUUAUCUUCGUAAGAUGGUAAAAAUGUAUAGCUUCAAAUAUUUUGUAAUAUUUUAAUUUUCUGUAUAUAAAUAGAAAUUUAGAAAU
rnacentral:misc_RNA from 1 species